rnacentral:lncRNA from 1 species
ACCGCAGGUCCAAAUGCAAGGAGAGGAACAUGUAACGAAUUAUUAAAAGAUUCUAUGCCAUCGCUGAUGGCAAGUUUGAAACGAAAGCACUGUAAUCGUAUAACAGUUUUUUCUUUCUUCUUCGUCUUCUUUGUCUUCUUCUAUUUUUGUUUUCAGUAUACAAUUGUGAUGGUUUAAUGCGAAUAAGGUACCUGUGCGUUUCUGAUGGGGACCGUACCGAGGGAUGAAUCAUUGUGUAGCACCGCAACUAAAUGUGACCACAUAAUAAAGCUCUUGCAUAAACGAUUUUAUAGAAUUUAAGGACUGGUUCUGUAGCUGCGUGAUGUUGCAAAGCUUGAGAGCGAGCCGUCUUGUACUGACUGACUCACAAACAAAGGGUGGGUUUACAUUCCGUCUGGUCAGGUGAGAAAUCUUAGAAUCCAUUCAAUCUUUAAUUUUUGGUUGGGAAGUUAACAGAUUCUCUAGAAUCGUUAGCUUCAUUAGAAAACCACGCAAUGAUUUUUGUUAAUGUUAAAAGGGAAUGACUGCUUGCAUGACAGCACUUUUCCAUGAUCGGAGUCCACUUGGGUUGGUUCUUCAUUCUAUCGAGACACUUCCUGCAGCACCACAACUAUCUUUCCGGAGUUUUAGCCUGUGAUUACUUUCUACGAUUUGGGUCGAAAACAACCCAUUCUGAUCUUGAUCCUUCACUUGUCCGGUUCCAAGUGAUUCAGGUUCCACAGAUUUCGUGAAAUCCACUGAUUCAUUAUCACAGUGGUACAAGGAGCACCUCUUUAUUUGCUUCACGGUGAUAAGUCCACUAGAAAUGUAAACAAGUGAAAGCAACUUUCCUUUUUGAUGCAAACUCACCCAGAAAUAUUAUCACAAUUUGUGAUUCACUGCUCCAUGCCUUCCACGCAAGCUCGUGGCAGUGGAAAAUAUGCACAAAUCCGCUUUGUUCAGCUUCAAGGAUUCAUAUGCUGUUUUAGAUGCCUCUUGUAAUUUUCUAGUAUUUUUCUCUAGCUAUAACAUUUUUAGAAUUAAACAUAUAAUUAUAAUGUUUUAAUGAAAGAAUUCUUUCUAUAAUUUCUGCUAAUAAAAAAAAUGGUUUUUAUUUA